GCCCUAGUAACGGCGAGUGAAGCGGCAACAGCUCAAAUUUGAAAUCUGGCCUUCGGGUCCGAGUUGUAAUUUGUAGAGGAUGCUUUUGGUGCGGUGCCUUCCGAGUUCCCUGGAACGGGACGCCAUAGAGGGUGAGAGCCCCGUCUGGUUGGAUACCAAUCCUCUGUAAAGCUCCUUCGACGAGUCGAGUAGUUUGGGAAUGCUGCUCUAAAUGGGAGGUAUAUGUCUUCUAAAGCUAAAUACCGGCCAGAGACCGAUAGCGCACAAGUAGAGUGAUCGAAAGAUGAAAAGCACUUUGAAAAGAGGGUUAAACAGUACGUGAAAUUGUUGAAAGGGAAGCGCUUGUGACCAGACUUGGGCAUGGUUAAUCAUCCAGCGUUCUCGCUGGUGCACUUGGCCUGCCCAGGCCAGCAUCAGUUCGGUGCGGGGGAUAAAGGCUUCGGGAAUGUGGCUCCUCCGGGAGUGUUAUAGCCCGUUGUGCAAUACCCUGCGCUGGACUGAGGUUCGCGCAUCUGCAUGGAUGCUGGCGUAAUGGUCAUCAGCGA
rnacentral:rRNA from 1 species